CUCACUAUAGUUUAUUUAAAACAUUGACCUGCAAAAUCGAAAAAGGAAAAAUAUCCUGGUGUGU
rnacentral:tRNA from 1 species